rnacentral:rRNA from 1 species
GACAGAGGGGGCAAGCGUUGCUCGGAAUCACUGGGCGUAAAGGGCGCGUAGGCGGUCUGUCGCGUCGGAUGUGAAAACUCGGGGCUCAACCCCGAGCCUGCAUUCGAUACGGGCAGACUAGAGUUCGGUAGGGGAGACUGGAAUUCCUGGUGUAGCGGUGAAAUGCGCAGAUAUCAGGAGGAACACCGGUGGCGAAGGCGGGUCUCUGGGCCGAUACUGACGCUGAGGAGCGAAAGCGUGGGGAGCGAACAGG